rnacentral:rRNA from 1 species
UACGUAGGGUGCGAGCGUUGUCCGGAAUUAUUGGGCGUAAAGAGCUCGUAGGCGGUUUGUCGCGUCGGCCGUGAAAACUUGGGGCUUAACCCCAAGCUUGCGGUCGAUACGGGCAGACUUGAGUUCGGCAGGGGAGACUGGAAUUCCUGGUGUAGCGGUGAAAUGCGCAGAUAUCAGGAGGAACACCGGUGGCGAAGGCGGAUCUCUGGGCCUUACCUGACGCUGAGGCGCGAAAGCUAGGGGAGCAAACAGG